UGUACUUCACAGCUUGCCUCCUCCUUUAUAAUGUGGUUUGAGAGAAAAAUCACCUUUGUAGGGGGCAUGAAGUUUCCAGGAAAGACCAAAACACAUUUGAGCAUCCUUAUGACAAUAGAAGCCCUGGGUAAACUUCCCUGGGAUCUCAGACUUCCAAAGAUGUUUGCAGAUAAGGCCCUCAUCAUGACCACUGCUGCACUUACGUAAUCAAAGUGUCUUUAAAUUUUCCAGCCUUCUGUUUGUUUUAAUGUGCAAGUAAUCAUAAAUUCAAGUCCCAGCCUUUGUGACUGCAAUAAACUCAGUCCCUUUCUUAGGUAUUUCUGAUAAUCCCUGAGAAGUGCUUAUUAGGCAUUCUAAAAAUUGUAUUAGUGGUUGCUUCUUUUCACCUCUAGCUCCACAUCACUGCUUUAGGAUUCUUUCUCCAUUCUUAUAGAAUUCUCCAUGCUGGCAGUUCUUUCCAGUCUGCUUUCUAUCUUCCAAAAUUUUGCAAAAGACCUUCUUCUUAAGUGCUCUAAAACACCAGUAAUAUAAGCACAUUGUGUUUCACAGACUUUAUGAAGAAUUGGCAUAGUAGAGAGGAAUUUAAAUACCGACCAAGAGAAUGAAAAUUUAGUGUUAGGUAUCAUUGCUGUGAGAGUUCAUCUGCUUCAUGAAGAGCCCUACUGGAUUUUUUUCUUAUCUCCAGUUGCACAAAAUAUUAUUGAAGUUUACUCUUUUCUCCUGAAAAAGGCUCUAUCUUUCGUGUCUUCCCACAGCAAGUUCAAGACACUUACACCCUUAUCACUGUCCCUGCCAAAAAAAGCAGGUAUUUAGAAAGUGUAUACUCAGGAACAAAUCACUCCGACAAAUUUCCCUUUCCUUUUCUGCAUCAUUACUUUUUCUCUCUCCUUUGUAUUAUUCUCAUCAACAUAUAACCCUAUGGUAUUUUAUCAUACCUUAAACUAAAAAAAAAAGGGCUCCUUUGAGUCUAGAUUUCCUACGGCUAACUUUCUAUUGCUCCACACCCAUUUAUAGCAAAAUCUGAAGAUCCCCUCAGUAUUCUGUACUUCUUUAGUGGCACCUCUUCCUUUUCUCCUCUUCUUUCCUAAAUGCAUUCCAUUCAAUCUCUGUUCCCACUAAUCCACCAGCUCAACUCUUGUCAAGGUAACCAACGAACCCCACACUCAGUCCAUUUAUAGCAUUUGGCAUAUUGACACUGUCUACCUCUAGAAAGACUUUCUUCUCUGGGCUUCCGGGCCACCUCCCUCUGUAGUUUUCCUCCUCUUUUACCAGCAUCUCCUUCUCCUUUGCUGUUGCCUGAAUACUAACAUCAGAGUGCCCAGGGCUUAUCUCAUGGACUGCUCUUCUCUAUCUACACUCCUUCAGUAAGGAAUUUCAUCAACUGUCAUGGCUUUAAAUAAUAUUUAUAUGCUAAUGGAUACCAAACUUACAUGUCUCCCUAUCCCAAGAAAUGUCUAUUAAGCAAAUUGAGUUACCAUUCGCCAAAACCAACUUCUGGUUGACUGAUAAACUUGCUCUUUCUUCAAUGUGCCAAUUUUCCAGAUUUUUUAUUUGUGUAGAAAUGUCUCUCCCCAUUUUAUUUUUAUUCGGAUAUUGGCACUGGCACUCUACAUUGCCCUCAUAGAAUUGUUAGUUGAAGAGGCCAAGAGGCCAAUAGG
ensembl:lincRNA